rnacentral:rRNA from 1 species
AGGCAGCUUCAGCCGUACUACGGUAUGCNGAGGUGCGGUAUUGAACGGAUUAGAUCCCUUGGUAGUCCGCACGGUAAACGAUGAAUGCCCGCUGUAUGCGAUACAGUGUAUGCGGCCAGCGAAGCGUUAGCAUCCACCUGGGAGUACGCGGCAACGUGAACUCAAGGAAUGACGGGGCCCGCACAAGCGAGGAACAUGUGGUUAAUUCGAUGAUACGCGAGGAACCUUACCCGGGCUUGAACUGCAGAGGAAGGAUUGAGAGAUCAUGACGCCCUUCGGGUCUCUGUGGAGGUGCUGCAUGGUUGUCGUCAGCUCGUGCCGUGAGGUGUCGGCUUAAGUGCCAUAACGAGCGCAACCCCUGCUGUCAGUUGCCAUCGGAUGAUGCCGGGCACUCUGGCGGUACUGCCACCGUAAGGUGCGAGGAAGGUGGGGAUGACGUCAAAUCAGCACGGCCCUUACGUCCGGGGCUACACACGUGUUACAAUGGGGAGUACAGAGAGUCGGCCUUAUGCAAGUACGGUCCAAUCAUAUAAAGCUCUCCUCAGUUCGGAUUGGGGUCUGCAACCCGACCCCAUGAAGCUGGAUUCGCUAGUAAUCGCGCAUCAGCCAUGGCGCGGUGAAUACGUUCCCGGGCCUUGUACACACCGCCCGUCAAGCCAUGAAAGCCUGGGGCGCCUGAAGUCCGUGACCGCGAGGGUCGGCCUAGGGUGAAACAGUAGGGGCUAAGUCGUAACAAGGUAGCCGUA